AUUAAAGUUAAAACAAUAACAUUUAAAAGCCAACUUUUAGUGUGCAUAGGAAUUACAAGGCCGUUCAUAAUGUGAGAUAAAGAACAGCUUUUUAAAACCGAAUAGUCUGUGAACACAAAAUGACCUUGCGCUGAAAACUCACUUGCAGGGGAAAAAUAAACUUUUUUUUCUUUUUCUUUAGUAAAUUAAUUAAUUAAACGUAGUUAGGACCUCCCUCAAAGUCCC